GUUAACAAACAUGGAUGUUUGUUUAAGCAAAUAACAUAUGCUGUAAUGUUAUUGUUUCAGUUGAAUAAAUCUAUUUAAAUUGUUAUUAUUAAGGUAAUGAUUACUUUUCUCCUUCCUAAGUACAACAGUAAAGUUGUCCAAAUACAGUAUGAAUGAUUAACUCAUUAAACUGGGGAUAAAAAAACCACCGGUAAUAUGAAAAGUUGUUAUUCUAAAAAUCUUCAUCUACUUGCAUAUUAAAGUUAUACUAGCAAGAAUUAAUCUUUAUGUAGAAAACUAUGAUUUAAAUCAAGCCUUACUAACUAGUGAUUUAAAUCAAACUGAUUUAAAUCAAAUCCACCCUGAGUGGAGGUCAGUCAGAGUGUGAUGAUCUGCUUGUUGAUAGCGAGCUCAGACACUUGGUAAACUGCUUGCAACCAAUUUCUUGCAAAUUUCCCUUUUACUGAAAAUUAGUACUCUUGUUGCGAAAGGGAUCCGUUCGGGAGGCCUGUUCGCAACAUGAAAAGGCUGCAUCCUGAAGCGCCGCAUCUGCGCACGCGCGGGACACAAUGCGGCGCUUCUGCGCAUGUGCGCAGGUUAUGGGUGUGCCGAUCCCGGAAGUAACCCAUUCCAGGUAACCCAUUCCAGGGACUUCCAGGUUCAGUGCAUCCGUAACCUGAAAAGACGCAACCUGCAGAGGACAUAGCAUGCACGUAUUUGGGUGGGGGGAGGGUCUGGAGAGUUUAUUGUGCAUUUUCUACUUAGUGCAUGUUAAUGCUAUCUUAGUUCUGUUUUUCUCUCUUCUCUCACCCUCCCUUAAAAAAAUAAAAUUCAACAGUUAUUCCCUUGAAUAGAGCAGCAAUGGUUCUUCGGACAACCAACGGACACCAGUUUAUCAGUGUUUGCAGAAGAACGCAGCAAGGAAGUUUCUGCAUGAGCCAUCAGUGGUGCUAAAGUGCUUAUAGUGCAGGUAGUAUUUCAUCACCUACCGCAGUUUUUGCACUUCAGCAUCCCUCUGGCAGUCUGUGUGAUGGCUGCCCUCCCUUCUUCAGGUGGAGGAGCAGGCCGGCCGUCUUUCCCUUUCCCUCCCGCCUGGGGAUACUCUAAGGCUGUUUGUGCUAAGGUGCAUCUAGUGCAGUGAGUGGAAUAGCUUAGAAUCUACUGCCCUGGAUGCUCCUUCUGACACACGCAGCUGGCCGUGAGUCUUGAUUGAAGUCACAAGGACAGCAAGAAGACAACUGCCAUCUUUCAGAAUGCCUUGUGCACAACCAGAAGCCUUUGGAGCACAGAUUUGCAGGUGGGCAAUGGAGUAGUUUGCCUCUGGGCCCGGCUGGCGAAAAGUUGACCUUGCAGAAAAUGUGGGAAUGUAGCAUUACACCACCGGUGGGAGCACAGUUAGAAACUCAGGUAUAUAAGCCAGGCGCCAAAUGGCUUCUUAAACCAGGGUUACACUCCAAAACAGAAUGCGUAGUUGCCGUUUUGGGGACAGACGGCUCGGAAGUUGUAUUUUUCAAUAUAACUGUUUGGUUCUCCUGAAAUUCAUUGUAUGGAUAAAAUAGAAUGGAUAGAAUACUACAGGAUGGGGUACAGUGCGCACGCGGCGAAACCCAGAAGUAAAGACUUCCGGGUCCGCUGCGUUCAUAACCUGGAAAUACGCAGCCCACAGCGGACGCAACAUGAGAUAUGACUGUAUGAGUGUGUGAAAACGGAAAAUCCAAAGAUCCCUGGGCAUGGUCGAGACAUCAGGUGUCAUCCUGGUGCCCAGGCAUCUUCACUUGGCUGCAAGUGGCCAAUUGUUGUUUGGUCGUUUAGUCGUGUCCGACUCAUCGUGACCCCACGGACCAGAGCACGCCAGGCACUCCUGUCUUCCACUGCCUCCCGCAGUUUGGUCAAACUCAUGUUCGUAGCUUCGAGAACACUGUCCAACCAUCUCAUCCUCUGUCGUCCCCUUCUCCUAGUGCCCUCAAUCUUUCCCAACAUCAGGGUCUUUUCCAGGGAGUCUUCUCUUCUCCUAGUGCCCUCCAUCUUUCCCAACAUCAGGGUCUUUUCCAGGGAGUCUUCUCUUUUCAUGAGGUGGCCAAAGUAUUGGAGCCUCAGCUUCAGGAUCUGUCCUUCCAGUGAGCACUCAGGGCUGAUUUCCUUCAGAAUGGAGAGGUUUGAUCUUCUUGCAGUCCAUGGGACUCUCAAGAGUCUCUUCCAGCACCAUAAUUCAAAAGCAUCAAUUCUUUGGCGAUCAGGCUUCUUUCUGGUCCAGCUCUCACUUCCAUACAUCACUACUGGGAAAACCAUAGCUUGAACUAGACGGACCUUUGUCGGCAAGGUGAUGUCUCUGCUUUUUAAGAUGCUGUCUAGGUUUGUCAUUGCUUUUCUCCCAAGAAUCAGGCGUCUUUUAAUUUUGUGACUGCUGUCAGCAUCUGCAUUGAUCAAGGAGCCCAAGAAAGUAAAAUCUCUCACUGCCUCCAUUUCUUCCCCUUCUAUUUGCCAGGAGGUGACGGGACCAGUGGCCAUGAUCUUCAUUUUUUUUUAUGUUGAGCUUCAGACCAUAUUUUGCGCUCUCCUCUUUCACCCUCAUUAAAAGGUUCUUUAAUUCCUCCUCACUUUCUGCCAUCAAGGUUGUGUCACCUGCAUAUCUGAGGUUGUUGAUAUUUCUUCCGGCAAUCUUAAUUCCAGUUUGGGAUUCAUCUAGUCCAGCCUUUCGCAUGAUGAAUUCUGCAUAUAAGUUAAAUAAGCAGGGAGACAAUAUACAACCUUGUUGUACUCCUUUCCCAAUUUUGAACCAAUCAGUUGUUCCAUAUCCAGUUCUAACUGUAGCUUCUUGUCCCACAUAGAGAUUUCUCAGGAGACAGAUGAGGUGAUCAGGCACUCCCAUUUCUUUAAGAACUUGCCAUAGUUUGCUGUGGUCGACACAGUCAAAUGCUCCAUGGAGAAAGACAACAGGCAAGUGGCCAAGAGCCAGAUGCAAAAUGUGCCUGGUGAAUUUUGAAUGCUGAAUGGAAGGUUAUUGAAAAGAGUGGAAUGUGUCUAGACCUGGAGCGGGGAACCUUUGGCACUCUGCAACCUGCUGGGUUCCAAACCACAUCUGCCCCACAUCCCCAUAUACACCAUGUUCUCAGUUUUCUUGCAGAACAACUGCGUAAUAGAAACUGUAAGCAAUAAUUGCUUCUAUCCACAUAUCCCGUAGAAAUGCAUCUUAACUUGCAAACUAUGUCCUGGACCCUGUUUGGUUUCUCUGUGACUUCUGUUGAUUGAUUGCAUUUCCACCCCACCUUCUUCCUAGGAGCUGGUGCACGUGGCUCUCUUCAUUUUGUCCUCGCAAGAGGGAGGCUAGGCUGAGCGACCGUGACCAGCCCUGGGUCACCCAGUGAGCUUAAUGGCUGAGUGAAGAAAUUGAAACCCCCUUGAGAGGAGAGCUGCACAGAAAGAAAGAAAACCUUCCACCAGCUUCAUGCAACCUGCUGCCCUUAAGAUUUCUAGGCUCCUGCGUAUCCAUUCUUCCUGCCGCUGGACCUGGUUGCAGGCACUGAUGGGAGUUGGGAGAGUUCUUUGGGAACAAGAGCCCUGCUUUGAAGUCAGGCAGAAGUGAAGAUUAACGAAAGGCUGAGUACUGACCAGAAGCUGAAGAUGACCUGAAUAUAUCUGAGGAAACCGAAGAACUGCUCCUAGAAUUGAAAGAAGAAAUCUUGGAACUGGAGGAUAAAUUAAUAGCAAUGGAAGAAGAACACAUGACACAAUGUCUUCAGGUGUCCAGUCCACCAACACAGCAACAGACAAGUUUUAAGCAGCAAUCUUGAUAUUUUGUGGACCCUGUGGGCAAGCCUAUAUUGAUGACUUGUUCACUUUUUUCACUUGAGCACACUUAUUUAAAAGAAGAAAUAAAAAACAUUUGCACAAAUAUUUCUGUUGUGGAAAGUGAAGUCAUCUUUCUAAAGUGUGGUGGUAUAGAGAUAAAUUGAGAUGUGUGUGAGCUCAUGACAAACGCUUGGUAGCCACAUCUCCAAGGGGAGUACAAAAUGUAGGCAAGCUGUAGUUGAUCCCUGAGCUGGCAAAAGCUGGUAUAGCAGUCAAGAUGCUGGAAUUUGGAUGGGAUGGCCUGGAUUUGCUGCUUGCUUCUGAAUAAAACAGGCUCAGCUUGUAGAGCUUAAAGCAAAGGUCUUCAGCCAGCAAGCAGUCUUGCAAAGUGUUAAUUGAAGCAGAAAUCCCAUUAAAGGAAGUCUCUAGCCUCUGCUCAAAUAUUUUCCCAUUUCCUCUAUGCUAGCUUUGAAAGCUUCGUUAUCGCCUCAAUCACUUGCCACAGCAAGGAGAAUCCCAUCAGUUUCCCCUGCCAGUUCAUCCCAAGUAUCCCAGCAUCCCAACGAGGAGUUCUAUGCGUGUGCAUUGAUGAACGCACAGGGCCCUUCACACAGCUGAGAUGAGACUGAGCUCUGCAGCAUGGUCCCCUCAUGUAUUCUCCAGCAAACCCUCUCCCCUAAGUUUUACUAAGAAGUAAAAUAUAUGUGAAGUCUAAAUUCUCGAUAAGACAGGCAACUCAAGGUUACCAAGCAGUGAGUUAUACAGCACAUGUUAGCUUCCAGGGUCCCGUUGGUAAGCCUGCCAUAGACAAAACAUGCAAGUUUCUAGAUCAGUGGUUCCCAAACUUCCAUGGAUUGCUUGAAAAUUGCUGAGGGUCUUUGUGGACCAUUUAAUGACUUUUCUGCCCAUUGUAGCUAUUGUAUGCCGCGAUGAGACAAUGUCUGAUCUUUAAUUGCAUUUUUAUUAUUGCUUUUAUUUCUUGUGUUUCAUUGUACUACAGUUAGCAUUCCAUAGAUCUCAAAUAAUAUGAUAAACUACAAUAUGAGAAAUAAAAGAAGCAACAACAAUUGCAAUUAAAAAAUUAAGUGACUAUUAAGGCAGACCACCUGAAUGAAGCUUAUGGACCACAGUUUGGGAACCUCUGUUCUUGAUAAUAAUGUAUGACUGUAAAUUGCUGACAAAAAUUGGAAGCAAGGCCUAAGUAAGAUUUUAAUUUGGUGUGCAGAUGGGCAUUGGCAAAAUACAUGUGGAUGUUUGCCUAAAUGUAUGCAAGUUGCAGAAUCUGCUUGUUUCCUUGGGAGGUAAAUGAGUUUAGCCUGGUAUAGAAAUAAGCUUCCUUUUUUCUGAUCACGGUCUGCAUUCCCUGAGAUUUACCUUGGUAUAGCUGGCAACUGUCAAUAGUAAUAAAAAUUAAAAUUGGUAGAUGUAGCACUUCCUCAGUCAUGUCCUUCCCAAAGCCAGUAUUGUGGAGCUUGCACAUCUAUACAAUAUUUCCUUUUUAGAAGUCAAUUAAUGCUAUUAAUUCAAUGCAGUGGGCAGUAUUCAACUGAACAUGUGAGUGGAGCAAUUUCAGUUUGCGCCGUGGGAAUUUUUCAUACUCUCCUCUCUGCAGAUGCUCCACCUGCAGUCCCCAAAUCUCUUCCAGGUGGUUGAGGGAGCAACUAAAACAGGUGUUGAAUACAAGCUGAUGCAAUUUUAUCCAAUUCAUUUGUGUG